AUGAUUAUCACAUAUAUUCUUCUUCAGUAAAGUGUCAGGAAUAAUAUACUCAGUUCUGAAAGCAGUUCAAUUGUUUGUGUUUAAAAAUAUUAGCCUUUUUAUCAAUGUCAAUUAUAGUGGACACCAGGAUCGUCUAAAUGUACAUAAUGACACCAUGUUCCACACACACACACACACACACACACACACACACACACACACACACACACUUCACUACAACCAGUGAUUUAUCAUCAGUGAUAAAUAUAAUUUAUGAAUGAGGCUUGAAGAUUGUCCACGUGGUAUCAUGAAAUAUGUAAACUGGCUAAAGUGCAAAGUUUGUACGUUUGAUUUUGACUAAUUGUAUGGACAUACAGCGCCCUCCAUUAAUGUUGGCACCCUUGGUAAAUAUGAGCAAAGAAGGCUGUGAAAAAUUGUCUUUUGUUUGACCUUUUGAUCUUUUGUGUAAUAUUUUCCCUUUGUAUUGUUUACCAUAAUUCUGGUUUUGGCAGUCAGGUUAUGAUCACACCAGAGUCUGUUGAUACGACCAACCAAGUUCUCCUUAUGCCAGACACUGACGUCACGACCAACCCCAUAGAAAUACAACUGAAUUGAAUUGAACACCUUAAACACAUGACCUGAGUUCCUGCUGAAGGAAAAAAUCACCCCAUCAGAAACACCACUCAGAAUGGGUCUCCUAACAUCUGAAUGUACUGCUGGGACUACGGCUGCUUCUAAGGCCAAACAGACUUCAUAUAAAACCAUAAUGAACUUUUUCACACUAUCUGUUGUUACCCAGAUGAGGACGGGUUUCCUGCUGAGUCUGAUUCCUCUCAAGGUUUCUUCCUCUAACAUCUUAGGGAGUUUUUCCUCACCACCAUCACCACUGGCUUGCUCAAUUGGGAUAAACCUGCACUUUUAAAAUCUGUAUCCCGUGUUUAUAUAUUUCUGUAAAGCUGCUUUGAGAUAAUGUCUAUUGUAAAAAGUGCUAUACAAAUAAAAUUGAAUUGUACUGAA